rnacentral:rRNA from 1 species
AUACGGAGGGUGCAAGCGUUGUCCGGAUUUAUUGGGUUUAAAGGGCGCGUAGGUGGUUUUUUAAGUCAGUGGUGAAAGCCUACAGCUUAACUGUAGAGGUGCCAUUGAUACUGGGGAACUUGAGUAUGGACGAGGUAGGCGGAAUUUGUGGGGUAGCGGUGAAAUGCAUAGAUACCACAAGGAACACCGAUAGCGAAGGCAGCUUACUGGGCCAUAACUGACACUGAGGCACGAAAGCGUGGGGAGCGAACAGGAUUAGAAACCCCAGUAGUCC